AGAGAGCUUGCUUUCUCGAGCGAGUGGCGAACGGGUGAGUAACGCGUGAGGAACCUGCCUCAAAGAGGGGGACAACAGUUGGAAACGACUGCUAAUACCGCAUAAGCCCACGACCCGGCAUCGGGUAGAGGGAAAAGGAGCAAUCCGCUUUGAGAUGGCCUCGCGUCCGAUUAGCUAGUUGGUGAGGUAACGGCCCACCAAGGCGACGAUCGGUAGCCGGACUGAGAGGUUGAACGGCCACAUUGGGACUGAGACACGGCCCAGACUCCUACGGGAGGCAGCAGUGGGGAAUAUUGCACAAUGGGGGAAACCCUGAUGCAGCGACGCCGCGUGGAGGAAGAAGGUCUUCGGAUUGUAAACUCCUGUUGUUGAGGAAGAUAAUGACGGUACUCAACAAGGAAGUGACGGCUAACUACGUGCCAGCAGCCGCGGUAAAACGUAGGUCACAAGCGUUGUCCGGAAUUACUGGGUGUAAAGGGAGCGCAGGCGGGAAGACAAGUUGGAAGUGAAAUCCAUGGGCUCAACCCAUGAACUGCUUUCAAAACUGUUUUUCUUGAGUAGUGCAGAGGUAGGCGGAAUUCCCGGUGUAGCGGUGGAAUGCGUAGAUAUCGGGAGGAA
rnacentral:rRNA from 1 species